CGGUUGCAGCAGUUGGAUGUCUUUGAUGCUGGUAUCCGUGUGUGUUGGUUGGUGGAGUCUAGAUUCUGUAAGAGAAGGUUGAGAAACAGCGCUAGAGAAGUGAUUUGGGUUGUUUGAUCGUGUUUUUAAGUUCCAUUUUCAACCGAUUGAUGGUGACCUCACAACUUUCCGAACAGGAAAUGCCCAACUGGAGAAGUCGGAACAUUUAAAUGUCCGAUGAACCCUUUCUAACCUCCAGCAACAGUGAGAUCGCACGUCGAAGAGUGAGAAUCUCCAUAUCCAGCCUUCGUCUUCAUGUCGGUGUUUGAGAAUUGGUUGACUUCGUGGUUUUUAAGCCCCGCCUUUUGGACACUGUGAGGCAGAGUAUCUAGACCAGGUAACUGAUUUCACUCAUAUCUUGUUCAUCUUUCAAAGAAUUGAUGAUCGUAUUAAGAUCACCAAUAAGUUUCAGGGUUUCACUGUUCACAAUUCAAGAUCCUUGGAAGGCGUUGUCUCUCACAGAUAGUAAUUUGCCUGGCUUUCUGCAACUCCUCAAGAAACUAUCGACGAAGCACAGGGUCCACAGCAGCAUCACUAUCAAGCGAAAGACCAUCCUCCGUUUGGUAGCAGUCUGGACUGAGUUGAGAUGUAGGAGUUUCCAUCUUUCUAGCUGAGAAGCUAUACUAGGAUGUCUAGUCAUCAGAUCAGAGUUCACAGAGUCACAAGGGGUGUUGAUUCUCUGAUAGCACUGCACUGAACUGAAUCCAAAGUGUCAUCUACAGAUAGGAUAUCACCACUAUCUCUUGCCGAUGAGCAGUCCUUAGAGAGAACAGUGACUUUGAACAAGGAAGCCAUCUUCUAAGUGAUUAGCAGACUAUAUUUUGUUUAUUAUUUGUAAAUUAUUUAUUAAUUAUUUAUUUUUAGUAAAAUAAUAAUUUAUUAUAAUUUAUGUAUGUCGUGCUCAACCAGAUCAGUCUGGUUUGUAAAGUCUAUUACAAGUACCGGAAGCAAACCCUGCUUCAGAAGUACUUAGACCAUCACGGCUUUAUUAAUUUACUAUUAAUUAUUUUAUUACUUAUUUAAUUUGUAUAUUAUUAGGCUUAGCCGCUAAGUUAUUGCUCCAAACUUGUUAUUUGUAAAUUAUUUAUUUAUUAUUUAUUAUUAAUAAAAUAAUUUAUUACAAUUUAUUAUUAACUUAUAUUAAUAUUUUAUUAGUUAUUUUUAAUUUAUAUAUACAAGUGCAUCUAAGCCAGGCUCAGGGGAACGAGUUGAGACCACAGCGUUAUAUGCAGGAAGUAUGGAAACUAUUUUAGGUUCUAAAGUGUUUUAUGUAAUAGUUAGAGAGCAUUCCGUGCAGGUCACUAUCACAGCUGAGGUCUCUAUCAUGUUUCGAAGACCUCAUAUUGACCAAUCAGCGUGCUUAGAGGUCACGUAACAUAUUCUAAAAUAUUAUGUCUUCAUAUUUGGAAUCCCAGUGGAGUCCAACUUAGAAAAGCACACCUUACCGUUGACACAUGGUUGUGCGUUUCAGGCCCGGAUCCAGGAAUUUUAAAAGAGGGGGUUGACCUGGUAGCAGUUAUUUAUAGCAUUACUAAUUUUCUAUUUUCUAAUGAAAUUAUAUGAAAUUAUUGAACCACGCCUAUUGGAAAAGAGGGGGUUCAAACCCCCUUAACCCCAUCUGGAUUCGGGCCAGCGUUCCAAUUUUAGAUGGCUUCCAGUGUACUUUGUCUGCGCAAAUUCAGUGUAUUUCCUGUGUGUUUUAUAUUAGUCUCGAGCAGGCAGCUGCUCUUUGGUUUUAGUUCCGUUGGCGGUGAAGUCAAAAGGGACAGGGGCUGGCUGCUCAAGACUAUAGUGUACUUGUGAAACUGGUUACAACUCCAGUCAGUCUUUAUGCCUUUCACAUUAUACUCAAAGUCCAAUCAUUGAAUGAAUGGGCAUUUGCGUUUUCACACCUAAUCAAGGCUGACGGAUCCGCAGUAGCCACGGUCAUCACUUUUUGAAACUUUGACUUUAUCCAACUAGUGCUGCAAACUUCAGAGACCACGGAUAUGGGAUUUAUGUUUCCAUAGUUGAAACGAAACGCACGCAGAGAAAGAGGCCGAGGGUUUGCACUUCUAGUGCUUCUUCAUUUGCUUCAGUAGCAAACAGGGCCGCGGGUAACAUGCGGCUGGUCUGUAGCAGCUGAAUUGCAUGGCUGAGAAGCAGCGUCUCAAGAAACGCUCGUAUGAAGCUGUCUUCAAACUAAAGGUAGUAGAAUGCGCGCAGCGCUUUGGAAACAGGCAGGCUGGACGCGAUAGACGAGUGCCGUGUUUGUGAGUGGAGAGCAAAACAAGACAAUCUCAGGCACACUGUUGGGACUCGAAGAACCAUGAAGGAAGGAGGCAGAAAAUCAAGUUAGGGCCAGAUGUCGACGACCAGCUAGUUUCGUGGAUUGAGCUUAACAGAAAUGAGGCUGAGAGUUACACGUUCAACAAUUUAAAUCAAGGUACUUCGGUUUUGGAAAGAGUCUCCGAACGACGGUGAUGGUGAUGACUUUGUAUAGCCAGUCGAGGAUGCAUAACUACAGAACUUUAUGAAGAGGCACUCGUUUUCCAUUAAUUAGGCGCAACCAAGUCAACGUCUAGCAGCUGAUAUGAUCUCCAAAGUCGUAUCAUUUGUGAUGCACAUCUGUAAGCUGAUUAAGACUCACAGUUAUGAUAUUGGAUCCAUUGGAAAUGCAAACGAAACUCCAUGUUGGAUGGAAAUGCCUAGUCAGACUACUAGUGAACAUCGCGGUAAGAAGUCGGUUUCGCUCCUAACUACCGGUCAUGAAGAAAGCCGUUGUACUGUUAUGCUAUCAGCCACUGCAAAUAAUUACAGCUAAAACCUUACGUAGUAUUUAAGGGUGUUCGGCCAAUUCCGGAGCUUCAGCGCCUUUUCUCGGGAGUCGUUAUCGCUUUUAGCAAAACGGGUGGAUACUAGAUUGGCUCAAACGUGUUUGAGGUCAAUUAGCGUUUUGUCGACGACUUGUAGUUUGAGAUGCCUACCGCUGUCACCUAGAGAGACUUCUGUGAGCAGAUAAAGAAAUGUAAGCCCGACUUAGCUGGAAUUCCUGGUGGCUUUACCUCACUUGUACAACCUGCUGACGUGUCAUGGAAUAAACCUUUCAAGCUGAAUAUAGAAAACGUUAUGAUGAGUGGAUGGCGUCAGGAUAAAAUUCUUCAAGAAAGAAGGCAACAUGAGACCACCCUUCAAAAUAACCAUCACACAGUGGGUCAAGGAGAGUUGGGAUGUCCUUUCGGUAGAUGUCAUCAAAAAAUAGUUUAAUUAAUAAAUGGUGUGUCUGUAGCUGUUAAGUUAACGGGUCUGAAAAUGACCAGAUACACUGCACAAAAGCUGGAGAAGUUGCUGAAGAGACUAUGACUUUGUCACAAGAAAGAACUGAUGCUCUGACGCAGGAAGACGUUCCAACGGAAGACACGGAAGAACUAGAAACUAAUGAAGUGUAGAUAUAGAUGAUGAGUAGAACUAGAAGUAUAAGUAAAGACGAUGAGUAGAAGUAGUCAUACAUUUAUGAGUAGAAGUAUAGAUAGAGAUGAUGACACAAUUGAAGUGCUCUUACACUUUGCAAGUCA